AUUGAACGCUGGCGGCAUGCCUUACACAUGCAAGUCGAACGGUAACAGGUCUUCGGAUGCUGACGAGUGGCGAACGGGUGAGUAAUACAUCGGAACGUGCCCGAUCGUGGGGGAUAACGAAGCGAAAGCUUUGCUAAUACCGCAUAAGAUCUACGGAUGAAAGCAGGGGACCGCAAGGCCUUGCGCGAACGGAGCGGCCGAUGGCAGAUUAGGUAGUUGGUGGGAUAAAAGCUUACCAAGCCGACGAUCUGUAGCUGGUCUGAGAGGACGACCAGCCACACUGGGACUGAGACACGGCCCAGACUCCUACGGGAGGCAGCAGUGGGGAAUUUUGGACAAUGGGCGCAAGCCUGAUCCAGCAAUGCCGCGUGCAGGAUGAAGGCCUUCGGGUUGUAAACUGCUUUUGUACGGAACGAAAAGGAUUGCCUUAAUACGGUGGUCUGAUGACGGUACCGUAAGAAUAAGCACCGGCUAACUACGUGCCAGCCGCCGCGGUAACAC
rnacentral:rRNA from 1 species